UGUUUGUCCAGUGUGUGGGGGUGUUUGUCCAGUGUGUGUGUGUGUGUGUUUGUCCAGUGUGUGUGUGUGUGUGUGUGUUUGUCCAGUGUGUGUGUGUGUGUGUGUUUGUCCAGUGUGUGUGUGUGUGUGUGUGUCCAGUGUGUGUGUGUGUGUGUGUGUGUGUCCAGUGUGUGUGUGUGUGUCCAGUGUGUGUGUGUGUGUCCAGUGUGUGUGUGUGUGUCCAGGUGUGUGUGUGUGUGUCCAGUGUGUGUGUGUGUGUGUCAGUGUGUGUGUGUGUCCAGUGUGUGUGUGUGUGAGUCCAGUGUGUGUGUGUGUGUGUUUGUCUAGUGUGUGUGUGUGUGUGUGUGUUUGUCCAGUGUGUGUGUGUGUGUGUGUUUGUCCAGUGUGUGUGUGUGUUUGUCCAGUGUGUGUGUGUGUUUGUCCAGUGUGUGUGUGUGUGUGUUUGUCCAGUGUGUGUGUGUGUGUGUGUGUGUUUGUCCAGUGUUUGUGUGUGUGUGUCCAGUGUGUGUGUGUGUGUGUCCAGUGUGUGUGUGUGUGUGUCCAAUGUGUGUGAGUCCAGUGUGUGUGAGUCCAGUGUGUGUGUGUGUGUGAGUCCAGUGUGUGUGUGUUUGUCCAGUGUGUGUGUGUGUUUGUCCAGUGUGUGUGUGUGUGUGUUUGUCCAGUGUGUGUGUGUGUGUGUGUGUGUCCAGUGUGUGUGUGUGUGUGUGUGUGUCCAGUGUGUGUGUGUGUGUGUGUCCAGUGUGUGUGUGUGUGUCCAGUGUGUGUGUGUGUGUCCAGUGUGUGUGUGUGUGUCCAGUAUGUGUGUGUGUGUGUCCAGUGUGUGUGUGUCCAGUGUGUGUGUGUUGUGUGUGUGUGUGUGUGUUUGUCUAGUGUGUGUGUCCAGUGUGUGUGUGUCUGUGUGUAUCCAGUGUUUGUGUGUGUGUGUGUCCAGUGUGUGUGUUUGUCCACUUUGUUUGUCCAGUGUGUGUGUGUGUGUGUGUCCAGUGUGUGUGUGUGUGUGUGUGUGUGUAUUUUUGUUUGACAGUGUGUGUGUGUGUGUGUGUGUGUGUGUGUGUGUGUGUGUGUGUGUGUCCA
rnacentral:lncRNA from 1 species